AUACGUAGGGGGCGAGCGUUGUCCGGAAUGAUUGGGCGUAAAGGGCGCGUAGGCGGCGCGGUAAGUCUGGAGUGAAUGUCCUGCUUUCAAGGUGGGAAUUGCUUUGGAUACUGCCGCGCUUGAGUGCAGGAGAGGUUAUCGGAAUUCCCGGUGUAGCGGUGAAAUGCGUAGAGAUCGGGAGGAACACCAGUGGCGAAGGCGGGUAACUGGACUGCAACUGACGCUGAGGCGCGAAAGUGUGGGGAGCAAACAGGAUUAGAUACCCUGGUAGUCCACACUGUAAACGAUGAAUGCUAGGUGUAGGGGGUAUCGACCCCUUCUGUGCCGCAGUCAACACAAUAAGCAUUCCGCCUGGGGAGUACGGCCGCAAGGUUGAAACUCAAAUGAAUUGACGGGG
rnacentral:rRNA from 1 species